rnacentral:rRNA from 1 species
UACAGAGGGUGCAAGCGUUAAUCGGAAUUACUGGGCGUAAAGCGUGCGUAGACGGUUAUGUAAGUCAGAUGUGAAAGCCCCGGGCUCAACCUGGGAAUUGCAUUUGAGACUGUGUAGCUAGGGUGCGGAAGAGGGAAGCGGAGUUUCCGGUGUAGCGGUGAAAUGCGUAGAUAUCUGGAGGAACACCGGUGGCGAAGGCGGCAUCCUGGACCAAUACUGACACUGAGGAGCGAAAGCCAGGGGAGCAAACGGG